rnacentral:rRNA from 1 species
GACGAACGCUGGCGGCGUGCUUAACACAUGCAAGUCGAGCGGAAAGGCCCUUUGGGGUACUCGAGCGGCGAACGGGUGAGUAACACGUGAGUAAUCUGCCCUCUACUUUGGGAUAACGCCCGGAAACGGGUGCUAAUACCGGAUAUGACUGCUCUCUGCAUGGGGGGUGGUGGAAACUUUUUGGGUGGGGGAUGUGCUCGCGGCCUAUCAGCUUGUUGGUGGGGUAAUGGCCUACCAAGGCUUUGACGGGUAGCCGGCCUGAGAGGGUGACCGGCCACACUGGGGACUGAGACACGGCCCAGACUCCUACGGGAGGCAGCAGUGGGGAAUAUUGGACAAUGGGCGGAAGCCUGAUCCAGCAACGCCGCGUGGGGGAUGACGGCCUUCGGGUUGUAAACC